UGAGGAAUAUUGGUCAAUGGACGAGAGUCUGAACCAGCCAAGUAGCGUGAAGGAUGACUGCCCUAUGGGUUGUAAACUUCCUUUAUAUGGGAAUAAAGUAUUCCACUUGUGGAAUUUUGUAUGUACAGUAUGAAUAAGGAUCGGCUAACUCCGUGCCAGCAGCCGCGGUAAUACGGAGGAUCCGAGCGGUAUCCGGAUUUAUUGGGUUUAAAGGGAGCGUAGGUGGAUUGUUAAGUCAGUUGUGAAAGUUUGCGGCUCAACCGUAUAAUUGCAGUUGAAACUGGCAGUCUUGAGUACAGUAGAGGUGGGCGGAAUUCGUGGUGUAGCGGUGAAAUGCUUAGAUAUCACGAAGAACUCCGAUUGCGAAGGCAGCUCACUAGACUGUUACUGACACUGAUGCUCGAAUGUGUGGGUAUCAAACAGG
rnacentral:rRNA from 1 species